GUAAUAGCCAUGAACGGGAAAAGUAGGGCCGGGGGUAUUUCCCAGCGAGCCGGCGGCGGUGUGAGGCCGGCAAAGAGACCCGACCUGAAGUUCUCCCGGGAGCUGCCCGCUGAAUGUUAGUGACUGGUGAUUAGUGACUAGCGACUAGCCGCAGGGGUCUAGGCCACUACCGGGUAAUAAAGAUGCAACCGGAAAAGGCAUUAGAUCCGGGUGGUGCUUGGGGGUCACAAGUAUGGUCACCAGUUACCGGUUGCUAGUCACCAGUCACUAGCAACUAGUCACUAAUUACUAGGUUGGGCCGGAGUCUCCCACCGUUACACCAGGGAGGGGGUAUCGGAGAGGGCUUUCGAAUGAAUUACGAACGGCGCCUUUCCCGUACUUUCUACAAGUGGGCCUGCAACCUUUUGGGUGAAGCGGGCCAAAAAGGGUGGUACCGCGGGUAUCGGCUCCUCGUCCCUUAU
rnacentral:ncRNA from 1 species